rnacentral:lncRNA from 1 species
GUUGUAACUAGAGCAUAACAAGUUUAAAGUAAAAUAAAUGCAUGUAAAUCACUAAUAAUUUCUUAAAGAUUUAUGAGUUCCGAACAUAGCUUAAGGAUACCUUUCUUUUCAGGGGGCAGCCACUUCUUGAAAUAUAGCCCUCCACCCAAAGUGAAAAGGAGCAAUUGGGAAGAAUUUUGAGGGCUGCAAUGACUGGUUGCCAAGCAAAUUUGCAACAGAUGAAAGGUUGGUGAAGAUUCUGUGGGACUUAGCAGAAAGUUGGUUAACUUUGCUUAAUUUUAAUAUACUCAUGAAGUUUGUAAUUAGUAUUAUUGUGGCUACCAGUCCACCUGCUUUUACAAGAUGACAAAGCUUGUUUCCAGCAUGGUCAUGGCUUUCUUAUACAAAGCAAAAAACUCUAGUUUUUGGGUAUGAUUUUCAUCAAGGGUAAACCUUGAAAUCUAAUGUUAUAAACUUAUGGGAGUGAGUUUUAAUCCUCCCGCAAUCAAAUUUCAAGAGUUCUACAAGAACUGAACCAAUUUUGAUAUUUUGCUUUAUUAACUUAAAAGCUAAACUCAAAAUUUACUAUAAUUGGACAUGACUUCUUGAUAGUACAGUUGGUAUUUUUAUUAGUAUUAUUACACCAAAUAAACAGAUAUUACUUUACUAACAACUGAUGUCUACUACUUUAAAAGAGUAACAGAUAAGAGAAAGUAAAAUAUCAGAGAGUGCCAUAACAAGAAUCUUUGAAUUGAAAAAAUAUAACUGAUGACUUUGUACAAUAUAACAAAAUUCUUUAUUUCACACGAGGAUACAACUUGAAAGGGUAUCACAAUGCAAUAUAUUGCAUUCCAAUACUGUUUCAGAAGCAAACUUAAAUUUUUUGCUUGAUCAAUAACAAGAAGCAUUAGACGAGAAUGCUCUCUGCACUUUAAGUGUCAGAAAAAGAAAACCAACAAUCGAGAUUCAAAGAGAAACAAGCAUAACCCCUAAAAUAACCUGAAAUGAAAUGUACUGGCUCACAAAAUAGAAAACUGCACCUGAAGCACUAUGCCAAACCCUAUAUUGUGCAAAUGAUCCUUCCAGUUUCCAUAAGUUACCCUAUGUUAUGUAUAUGAUAUUGUUAAUAUAUGGUGAAAUUAAAUGGAUUACAAAUAUUUGAUGAUUUUAAUAAAAGAACCAGAACAAGGCUCAAACACACCCCCUAGAAUACACAUUAACUUAAACAAAUGAAAUUACCAUGAAAUUUGAUUUCUCUACAAAUUACGUUGUUUUUGGCGAGAAUUAGUGGAAGACAUGCUCAAUCCAAUCAAUUAAUGUAUGAACACCCAAAUAAAAACUUGCUUACUUCAGCAAUUUGUCGCAUUCCUCGUUGCUGCAAGAUCACUCUGUUCCUCCUAAAACGUUCGAUUCGAUGGUUGCUUCUACCGAAACAUUAGUUUAUUUGAGAUUGGGGCUAGGGUUUCUGAUUUCGCUACUUCGUCAGCCAUCGGUAUAGCCUCAAGCCUUAAAAUUAGGUAGAGAGUGAAAUAAUGUGGAGGAGAGGGCUGAAGAGGAAGAAGGUUGUGAGUGAGAGGAGGAGAGGAGGAGAGAGGGAGAAGGAAAGGGUGAGAAUGGUGAUGUCUCGAUGUUUUCCUUUUCUUUUAACUGCCCAUCCG